CCUACGGGAGGCAGCAGUGAGGAAUAUUGGUCAAUGGGCUGGAGCCUGAACCAGCCAAGCCGCGUGAGGGAAGAAGGUACAGCGUAUCGUAAACCUCUUUUGUCAGGGAACAAAGGCGGGGACUAGUCCCCGGAUGAGGGUACCUGAAGAAAAAGCAUCGGCUAAAUCCGUGCCAGCAGCCGCGGUAAUACGGAGGAUGCGAGCGUUAUCCGGAUUUAUUGGGGUUAAAGGGUGCGGAGGCGGCCUGUUAAGUCAGCGGUAAAAGCCCGGGGCUCAACCCCGGCGAGGCGUUGAAACUGGCCGGCUGGAGUUGGAUAGAAGUACGCGGAAUGCGCGGUGU
rnacentral:rRNA from 1 species